rnacentral:rRNA from 1 species
UACGAAGGGGGCUAGCGUUGCUCGGAAUCACUGGGCGUAAAGCGCACGUAGGCGGAUUCUUAAGUCAGGGGUGAAAUCCUGGAACUCAACUCCAGAACUGCCUUUGAUACUGGGAGUCUCGAGUCCGGGAGAGGUGAGUGGAACUGCGAGUGUAGAGGUGAAAUUCGUAGAUAUUCGCAAGAACACCAGUGGCGAAGGCGGCUCACUGGCCCGGUACUGACGCUGAGGUGCGAAAGCGUGGGGAGCAAACAGG